rnacentral:lncRNA from 1 species
AUUAUAGUGGAUUAUAGUGGACUAUAGUGGUGUAUAACGGUGGAUUAUAGUGGAUUAUAGUGGUGUAUAACGGUGGAUUAUAGUGGAUUAUAGUGGUGUAUAACAGUGGAUUAUAGUGGAUUAUAGUGGAUUAUAGUGGUGAGUAACAGUGGAUUAUAGUGGAUUAUAGUGGUGUAUAACAGUGGAUAAUAGUGGUGUAUAACAGUGGAUAAUAGUGGAUUAUAGUGGAUUAUAGUGGAUUAUAGUGGAUUAUAGUGGAUUAUAGUGGUGAGUAACAGUGGAUUAUAGUGGAUAAUAGUGGUGUAUAACAGUGGAUUAUAGUGGAUUAUAGUGGUGUAUAACAGUGGAUUAUAGUGGAUUAUAGUGGUGUAUAACAGUGGAUUAUAGUGGAUUAUAGUGGUGUAUAACAGUGGAUUAUAGUGGUGUAUAACAGUGGAUUAUAGUGCAUUAUAGUGGUGUAUAACAGUGGAUUAUAGUGGUGUAUAACAGUGGAUUAUAGUGGAUUAUAGUGGUGUAUAACAGUGGAUUAUAGUGGAUUAUAGUGGUGUAUAACAGUGGAUUAUAGUGGAUUAUAGUGGAUUAUAGUGGACUAUAGUGGUGUAUAACGGUGGAUUAUAGUGGAUUAUAGUGGUGUAUAACAGUGGAUUAUAGUGGAUUAUAGUGGUGUAUAACAGUGGAUUAUAGUGGAUUAUAGUGGAUGAUUUGGAAGAUCUAUUAGCAUCCAGUCCCUUUAGACACAGAAUGCUACAGCGUGAUAGACAGGUAGAAUGCUACAGCGUGAUAGACAGGCAGAAAGCUACAGCGUGAUAGAUAGAAUGCUACAGCGUGAUAGACAGGCAGAAUGCUACAGCGUGAUAGACAGGCAGAAUGCUACAGCGUGAUAGAUAGAAUGCUACAGCGUGAUAGACAGGCGAAUGCUACAGCGUGAUAGACAGGCAGAAUGCUACAGCGUGAUAGACAGGCAGAAUGCUACAGCGUGAUAGACAGGCAGAAUGCUACAGCGUGAUAGACAGGCAGAAUGCUACAGCGUGAUAGACAAGCAGAAUGCUACAGCGUGAUAGACAAGCAGAAUGCUACAGCGUGAUAGAUAGGCAGAAUGCUACAGCGUGAUAGAUAGAAUGCUACAGCGUGAUAGACAGGCAGAAUGCUACAGCGUGAUAGAUAGGCAGAAUGCUACAGCGUGAUAGAUAGGCAGAAUGCUACAGCGUGAUAGACAGGCAGAAUGCUACAGCGUGAUAGACAGGCAGAAUGCUACAGCGUGAUAGAUAGAAUGCUACAGCGUGAUAGACAGGCAGAAUGCUACAGCGUGAUAGACAGGCAGAAUGCUACAGCGUGAUAGACAGGCAGAAUGCUACAGCGUGGUAGACAGGCAGAAUGCUACAGCGUGGUAGACAGGCAGAAUGCUACAGCGUGGUAGACAGGCAGAAUGCUACAGCGUGGUAGACAGGCAGAAUGCUACAGCGUGAUAGAUAGACAGGCAGAAUGCUACAGCGUGAUAGAUAGACAGGCAGAAUGCUACAGCGUGAUAGAUAGGCAGAAUGCUACAGCAUGGUAGAUAGAAUGCUACAGCGUGAUAGAUAGACAGGCAGAAUGCUACAGCGUGAUAGACAGGCAGAAUGGUACAGCGUGAUAGACAGGCAGAAUGCUACAGUGUGGUAGACAGGCAGAAUGCUACAGCGUGAUAGAUAGACAGGCAGAAUGCUACAGCGUGAUAGAUAGGCAGAAUGCUACAGCAUGGUAGAUAGAAUGCUACAGCGUGAUAGAUAGACAGGCAGAAUGCUACAGCGUGGUAGAUAGGCAGAAUGCUACAGCGUGAUAGACAGGCAGAAUGCUACAGCGUGGUAGACAGGCAGAAUGCUACAGCGUGAUAGACAGGCAGAAUGCUACAGCGUGAUAGAUAGGCAGAAUGCUACAGCGUGAUAGACAGGCAGAAUGCUACAGCGUGAUAGAUAGAUAGGCAGAAUGCUACAGCGUGAUAGAUAGGCAGAAUGCUACAGCGUGAUAGAUAGAUAGGCAGAAUGCUACAGCGUGAUAGAUAGAUAGGCAGAAUGCUACAGCGUGAUAGAUAGAUAGGCAGAAUGCAGAUGAGGAGUUUCGGCAAUGGUUCGGGUUCCAUUUUAAAGACGUGAAGGAAUCCCUGAAAGGGUGUAAAUUUAGAGGAUAUCGUUCUAGUGCAGUACUUGGAUGAUUUGUUUUUAGCCUCAAAAGACCAUGAUACUUACAUACGUGGCCUCACCACACCGGUUAACUAACUAUUUGGCAAAGCAGGACCAUGAAGCGUCGUAUGAAAAAAGGCCAAUUGGCAAACAGGAGGAAAUGUAUUAGGUGGUCUUGAUUUCUAAAGGCAUGACAAACAUUACUAGCACCACACAUCAACACCAUUCGUGCUCUGGCAUGACCAAACACUCCUCGAACGCUCAGACAAACCCUGGGGGGGGUUUAAUUUAAUGAGAAACCUUAAUCUGUCUUAUUCUGAAAUAGCUGAACCUCUUACAGAAUUGACGAAAAGGGAGGAGGGUUCCCCUUGAGAGAAAAGAGCGGAGUCAAGAUUGUGAGGAAGCGUUUUUGAAGAGUUAAGGAAACCGUUGUGUCAAGCGCAUGAACUGGAGUUUCCUUUUAAAAUGUUUGUGAAUGAACAACUGUUCAUUCACCUGUUCCUUCAGUUAAUCAUUUAUUAAUGUGAUGCAUUUCUUCAUCUAUUUGUUGAUGAAUUCCUUUCUGUGUUCUUCAGCUUCAUGUUAUCCUCCUCCAUACGGUGAUACCUUGGAGAAUACUGCCUCCUGGUGCUACAACAGGAGAAGUGUUGAAUGAUAAAAGCAGAGGCUUGGAACUGACAUGAAUACUGUACAAUGAUGUAUAAUGACCCUACAUGACUGACAGGGGGAGCUGUUUUGAUGCCAUGACCCUACAUGACUGACAGGGGGAGCUGUUUUGAUGCCAUGACCCUACAUGACUGACAGGGGGAGCUGUUUUGAUGCCAUGAACCUACAUUUAAAAAAUAUAUAUAUAUAUAUUUCACCUUUAUUUAACCAGGUAGGCAAGUUGAGAACAAGUUCUCAUUUACAAUUGCGACCUGGCCAAGAUAAAGCAAAGCAGUUUGACACAAACAACAACACAGAGUUACACAUGGAGUAAAACAAACAUACAGUCAAUAAUAUAUUAGAAAAAUAAGUCUAUAUACAAAGUGAGCAAAUGAGGUGAGGUAAGGGAGGUAAAGGAAAAAAAAGCCAUGGUGGCGAAGUAAAUACAAUAUAGCAACUAAAAAACACUGGAAUGGUAGAUUUGCAGUGGAAGAAAGUGCAAAGUAGAAAUAGAAAUAAUGGGGUGCAAAGGCAAAAUAAAUAAAUACAGUAGGGGAAGUGGUAGUUGUUUGGGCUAAAUUAUAGAUGGGCUAUGUACAGGUGCAGUAAUCUGUGAGCUGCUCUGACAGCUGGUGCUUAAAGCUAGUGAGGGAGAUAAGUAUUUCCAGUUUUAGAGAUUUUUGUAGUUCGUUCCAGUCAUUGGCAGCAGAGAACUGGAAGGAGAGGCGGCCGAAGGAGGAAUUGGCUUUGGGGGUGACCAGAGAGAUAUACCUGCUGGAGCGCGUGCUACGAGUGGGUGCUGCUAUGGUGACCAGUGAGCUGAGAUAAGGCGGAGCUUUACCUAGCAAAGACUUGUAGACGACCUGGAGCCAGUGGGAUUGGCGACGAGUAUGAAGCGAGGGCCAGCCAACGAGAGGGUACAGGUCGCAGUGGUGGGUAGUAUAUGGGGCUUUGGUGACAAAACGGAUGGCACUGUGAUAGACUGCAUCCAAUUUAUUGAGUAGGGUAUUGGAGGCUAUUUUGUAAAUGACAUCGCCGAAGUCGAGGAUCGGUAGGAUGGUCAGUUUUACGAGGGUAUGUUUGGCAGCAUGAGUGAAAGAUGCUUUGUUGCGAAAUAGGAAGCCAAUUCUAGAUUUAACUCUGGAUUGGAGAUGUUUGAUGUGAGUCUGGAAGGAGAGUUUAGUCUAACCAGACACCUAGGUAUUUGUAGUUGUCCACAUAUUCUAAGUCAGAACCGUCCAGAGUAGUGAUGCUGGACGGGCGGGUAGGUGCAGGCAGCGAUCGGUUGAAGAGCAUGCAUUUAGUUUUACUUGUAUUUAAGAGCAGUUGGAGGCCACGGAAGGAGAGUUGUAUGGCAUUGAAGCUCGUCUGGAGGGUAGUUAACACAGUGUCCAAAGAAGGGCCAGAAGUAUACAGAAUGGUGUCGUCUGCAUAGAGGUGGAUCAGAGACUCACCAGCAGCAAGAGCGACAUCAUUGAUGUAUACAGAGAAAAGAGUCGGCCCAAGAAUUGAACCCUGUGGCACUCCCAUAGAGACUGCCAGUGGCCCGGACAACUGGCCCUCCGAUUUGACACACUGAACUUUAUCAGAGAAGUAGUUGGUGAACCAGACGAGGCAGUCAUUAGAGAAACCAAGGCUGCUGAGUCUGCCGAUGAGGAUGUGGUGAUUGACAGAGUCGAAAGCCUUCGCCAGGUCAAUGAAUACGGCUGCACAGUACUGUUUCUUAGGACCUUGAGCGUGGCUGAGGUGCACCCAUGACCAGCUCUGAAACCAGAUUGCAUAGCGGA